AUGGAUUUAAGCCGUGCACUCAUCUGCUGGAAUGUUCAUGGCCUUAACAACCCGACCAAGAGGAAGGCGGUCAAGGAGUUCAUUGACACAGUCAAGAUUAGCUUACUUUGCUUGCAAGAAACGAAAAUGUAUGUAAUUGAUAAGUACAUUGUCAUGCAAUGCCUAGGGCCGUCUUUUGGCGGUUUUGCUUACGUGCCUUCGGAGGAAACUCGAGGGGGUAUCCUACUGGCUUGGGACUCCACUGUGGUGAAUGUGGUAGGGGGUGCAGAACGAUAUGAACUUCCUUACAGGUUGGGUGCAACCCAAAGGAAGCGCAUUGUGGUGGAUCUCGGUGGUCUACGGACCACAAGGUGA
rnacentral:rRNA from 1 species